rnacentral:rRNA from 1 species
CCUACGGGGGGCAGCAGUGGGGAAUAUUGGACAAUGGGGGCAACCCUGAUCCAGCCAUGCCGCGUGUGUGAAGAAGGCCCUCGGGUUGUAAAGCACUUUCAGUGAGGAAGAACGCCUGGUGGUUAAUACCCAUCAGGAAAGACAUCACUCACAGAAGAAGCACCGGCUAACUCCGUGCCAGCAGCCGCGGUAAUACGGAGGGUGCGAGCGUUAAUCGGAAUUACUGGGCGUAAAGCGCGCGUAGGUGGCUUGAUAAGCCGGUUGUGAAAGCCCCGGGCUCAACCUGGGAACGGCAUCCGGAACUGUCAAGCUAGAGUGCAGGAGAGGAAGGUAGAAUUCCCGGUGUAGCGGUGAAAUGCGUAGAGAUCGGGAGGAAUACCAGUGGCGAAGGCGGCCUUCUGGACUGACACUGACACUGAGGUGUGAAAGCGUGGGUAGCAAACAGGAUUAGAUACCCGGGUAGUC